AACGAACGCUGGCGGCAUGCCUAACACAUGCAAGUCGAACGGGAUCCUAGCUUGCUAGGUGAGAGUGGCGGACGGGUGAGUAACACGUGGGAAUCUGCCUUUUGGUUCGGGAUAACCGCGGGAAACUGCGGCUAAUACCGAAUGCCCUCGAGAGAGGAAAGAUUUAUCGCCAGAAGAGGAGCCCGCGUCCGAUUAGGUAGUUGGUGGGGGUAAAGCCUACCAAGCCGACGAUCGGUAGCUGGUCUGAGAGGAUGAUCAGCCACACUGGGACUGAGAUACGGCCCAGACUCCUACGGGAGGCAGCAGUGGGGAAUAUUGGACAAUGGGGGCAACCCUGAUCCAGCAAUGCCGCGUGAGUGAUGAAGGCCUUAGGGUUGUAAAGCUCUUUUUGCCAGGGAAGAUGAUGACUGUACCUGGAGAAUAAGCCCCGGCUAACUUCGUGCCAGCAG
rnacentral:rRNA from 1 species